rnacentral:rRNA from 1 species
CGAAUGGGGCAAGCGUUGUUCGGAAUCACUGGGCUUAAAGCGUAUGCAGGUGGCCCUGCAAGUCAGAAGUGAAAUCCCUGGGCUCAACCCAGGAAUUGCUUUUGAAACUGCAAGGCUAGAAUCCCGGAGAGGUUAACAGAAUUCCGAGUGUAGAGGUGAAAUUCGCAGAUAUUCGGAGGAAUACCAGUGGCGCAAGCGGUUAACUGGACGGGCAUUGACACUCAGAUACGAAAGCGUGGGUAGCAAACAGGAUUAGAUACCCUGGUAGUCCACGCCAUAAACGAUGUGUGCUAGUUGUCGGAACCUUAGGUUUCGGUGACGCAGCGAAAGCGGUAAGCACACCGCCUGGGGAGUACGGUCGCAAGAUUA